rnacentral:rRNA from 1 species
UGGGGAAUAUUGGACAAUGGGCGCAAGCCUGAUCCAGCCAUGCCGCGUGUGUGAAGAAGGCCUUUUGGUUGUAAAGCACUUUAAGCGAGGAGGAGGCUACUUGGAUUAAUACUCUAGGAUAGUGGACGUUACUCGCAGAAUACGCACCGGCUAACUCUGUGCCAGCAGCCGCUGUAAUACAGAGGGUGCGAGCGUUAAUCGGAUUUACUGGGCGUAAAGCGUGCGUAGGCGGCUUCUUAAGUCGGAUGUGAAAUCCCUGAGCUUAACUUAGGAAUUGCAUUCGAUACUGGGAAGCUAGAGUAUGGGAGAGGAUGGUAGAAUUCCAGGUGUAGCGGUGAAAUGCGUAGAGAUCUGGAGGAAUACCGAUGGCGAAGGCAGCCAUCUGGCCUAAUACUGACGCUGAGGUACGAAAGCAUGGGGAGCAAACAGG